rnacentral:snoRNA from 1 species
UUGGAAGUGAUGAUCCUUUCCCCAGAUGAUCGACUCUGAUUAUACUGAGCUUUUGAUUAUUCUUCUCUUCGGAGAAGAUCCAAAGCCAGAAACCUGAUCCAU